rnacentral:misc_RNA from 1 species
AAAUACUAUUGAACCUUGCUGAUAUUGCCGAGUUGCCAAACAGGACUUUAGUCGACAUUAUGGCUGUUGUAGUCCACUUGGAUACAAUACAUCGCACAAUGUGGGGCCCUUUCAGAAAGAUUGUUAUAAUGGAUGCUAGGGGAUAUUUACAUAUCAUUAAAGUUUGGGGUGACCUACUAAACAAAAAUGCACUCCGCUGGGCGUUGGCUAAGGAGGAUUAUGGCAUAAUAAUUGGGACUAUGUUUAGACGGUUCAGAAGACAAGAGUGCCUCGAGUCUUCGGAUCAUACCGCAAUACACUUCAAUCCGUUCCAUCACAACACCCAUCAUUUUCGACCAAUCCAAAAAGCUUUGGUGGCGCUGAACAACCGUCAGUUUGCUGUUACAUUUCUUGAAGAAGAAAGGCGUAGAUAGAUUCUACAAAUUCGCAAAGAGCAAUAAUUGGGACUAUGUUUAGGCGUAGAGAGAUUUGAUAGAAUACGU